GGAGGUAGCUCAGUGGGAGAAGUUGGGCUUAGCAUGUCUAAGGUCCUGGGUUCUAUCCCCAGCACCA
rnacentral:tRNA from 1 species